GUGAGAUCAUGACCUGAGCCGAAGUUGGACGCUUAACUGACUGAGCCCCCCGGGCACCCCAGAUAAUUCUGGUGCCUGUAAAGAGCCCAUCUCAUGAUGGGAACUGAAAAUGUCAGAUAACCUUGCAACAACGGAUGGAUACUUGACCUAGACUCUGCUAAUCAGACGCAUGUACUCCAUUCCCUAUGUCGUGAAGAAGGAAAAGACCAGAAUCGAUUCUGUUGACAGAUGGUCGCAGAGACCACGACCUGAAUGAGCAUUUCCAGCAUCCAGUGUCGGCACUCAAGGCACAACACCACGCACAGAACAUGGCUUCCCUGAAUGGUUCUACCUGGAUAUUUUUGAGCCCUGCUCUUUUCCUUGAAACCUCUGAGCUUCUACUUCUCUUGUCCUCACAGAGAUUCUUAGAUCUCUCCAGUACCUUUUGUGAUCAAUUCCUUUCCUGCCAACCCAUCACGUUCGGUUCCUGUAGCGUGUGCCUAAGAAGGUGGUCUGUGUGGGUCAGGACAGAAUCAAGAAAACAGUCCUCUGCCUCUUGCAAGCAGUUGGGACUUAAUACAGAAGUUGAUGGAAGAUCUGGAAAGCCAACCAGGGAGCAAUGAGGUAACCCACAGAUCAGUAGCAUCUGGAAGCUGCCAUCAACGCUGGAGCUGGAGGAACCAUGGGGGAAGGAAGGAGCUAGAACCACAGGAUGGGGGCUACCCAGAGAGGUGACCAGUUGGGUCCCAAGACCUGAGGCCACACCAGCGGAAGAGCCAGAAAUAGACCUGAACGCCAACAGGCAAUUGCCAUGCACAAGUAAUGGGAGCUCACAUAAUUUUUGGCUGAAUGAAGAGGGCCAGGACCGGAACCUUGUGUUAUACCAACUUUUAAAGGCUAGGGGAAUUAGGCCUUGGCCCCUAAGGAGAAGCAGUCAGAGAGCCAGGAGGACACCGAGGCAAGAGUAGCAUUCCCCAUGCCACAGCUCUGAAGCCAUCAAAUCUGCCAGACCCCUAACUGGAUUUCCACCAAACAGACCUCUGAAUUAUUCAUCGAGUCCAGACAAGAGACUCAGAGUGCUUAUCCAUGAGCUUCGGGUAUCAUAGCUUCUAAUCCAGGCUAUUCCCUGGGUAACCUGAGUUAUUAAGUAAGGAUCACAGUGCUUGCCAACUUUCACUGGGCAAGAUAAGAAGCAAUGCAUCAUGGAGAUUUUUAAAUAGCUUGGCAAGAUGGGGAAACACAUCACAGCAGGAACCUUAAUUGAUAAAGUAGAGACAAGUGCACUCAUUCUCACGGUUGGAAAUUACGGGACUGUCCUACUUGACUUCCGUGAGUGGAUGGAUUGCAACAUCUUUGUUAGUGGCAGAGCAGAAGACAAAACAAAGCUCUGUGUCUGGAUUUGGGAGAAGGAACGUGGUGUGAAGGAAAGAGCACCGUUUCAGAUCAGGAGAACUUCAUUUGAAUCUCACCUCCAGUGCUCGUUAGCCUUGUGAUUUUAGAUGUUAUUUUCAACCAAGCAUUAGCCUUUUCCUGGUUAAAAGUGACGAUGCGGGCCACUUAUCAUUCUGGGCACUUCAUAAAUAUUUGUUCCCAAAUCCCCCUUCUUUUUACCAUAACUCUAGCCUAGGAAGAAUUCUUUCUCCAAAAAAAAUGGCUGGGAUGAAUCAUUUCAAUAGGAAAAAGUUUAAAACGAAUUAAAAUCCCAAACUCGGCACUCCUGGUUAUUAUCGAAAGCACCACUUUCCCUGGGCAGUCUACAUUCAAGGCUAUUUAGUCAGAAUUUCAGAUGGUCUAAAAAAAUUUUAUCUGUGCCUAUUUUUGUUUCUUGAAAGAAAAACCUCACUUCCCUUGCAUGCCAUCAAAUAUCAGUUCAUCUAAAUUUUGAAUGGGAUUUCAUCCUCCGUUGGUGCCUGGGUGUUUCUGUGACUUGAGCAAGGGGUCCCUGUGCCUUUAUCACCUGGUUUCUGCCUGACGUGGCUGGAAAGAUGAUCGCCUCCAGGCCCAUCACAAAGGAGCGGGGCCUCCACGGUGCAUUAGCAGCACCAAGGAGUAUUGCCAAGAUACAGCAUAAAAGACAAGACUCCAUGGUUCCCCUCUGGGUUUCUGGAGCAGCUGUCUCUAGCUCAGCUGUGGAAAUUUCAGUUCCUUCAUUGAAACCCAAACACCUGUGUCCCCAGACAGGAAAAUGCCUAAUAAAGUGACUUCCUCCAUG